rnacentral:rRNA from 1 species
GACGAACGCUGGCGGCGUGCUUAACACAUGCAAGUCGAACGGAAAGGCCCUGCUUUUGCCUGGUUCUCGAGUGGCGAACGGGUGAGUAACACGUGAGUAACCCGCCCUUGACUUUGGGAUAACUUCAGGCAACUGGUGCUACUACCUGCUAGGUGCUCCUGCUGCAUGGUGGGGGUUGGAACGCUUGGGCGGUUGUGGAUGGAGUCGCGGCUUAUCAGCUUGUUGGUGGGGUAGUGGCCUACCAAGGCUUUGACGGGUAGUCGACCUGGGAGGGUAACCGGCGACAUUGGGACUAAGGGACGGAGCAGAGUGGAAUGGUGGACAGCGGUGGAAAAUAUGAUACAAUGAGGGGAAGCGUGAGGAGGCGGCGUCGCGUGCGGGAAGCCGGUCUAGGGGGUGUAAACCGCUGUCAGCUGAUACGAAGCGGGAGUGACGGUACCGGCAGAAGAAGCACCGGCUAACUACGUG